UUUAGAUAAUUUGGCAUAAAAAUUGCCUCAGUAAUUGACAGUUGAGUCAACGUUCCAAUGAUGAAGGGUAAUUACGUCAAUGUACGAAGCAAGUUGUUCCUGAUCCACACUACAUUAUUGUCUUUUUGCCGAAUUUAUUGGUUACAAUCAAUCGUCCACGACUCCUCAACUGUCGCAGAAGCCAGAUUCAGUGGCACUCUUGUAAUUUACGCAAUGUCAAACUACUAAUAGGGGAAUGAAAUUCCUUAUUUGCCAUCUACAAAGUCUCUAAUUUCCUAAAAACAGGACUUGAGACAUUGAAGAACAUAGUUUCAAGAGGCAGAGCGCGUGUGUGAUUUCAGUAGUUCGUGGCAUUAAUGGCGGAUGAGGAGAGGGCGCGUGAGCACAUCGAGGAGAGCGUGAAGCUGUUCGUAGGUCAAGUGCCGAAGCAAAUGACGGAGGAACAGCUUCUGGAGAUGUUCAAAGAGUUCGCAGUUAUUGACGAAGUCAACAUCAUCAAAGACAAGACUACACGGGCUUCUCGAGGGUGCUGUUUUCUGAUUUGCCCGUCGAGAGAAGAAGCGGACAAGGCUAUAACUGCUUGUCACAAUAAACAGACGCUUCCUGGGGCUUCUAGUCCGUUGCAAGUGAAGUAUGCUGAUGGCGAGUUGGAAAGGCUAGAGCACAAGCUUUUUGUGGGUAUGUUGCCAAAGAAUGUCUCUGACCCAGAAGUCUCCUCUUUAUUCUCUCAAUAUGGGACCAUUACAGAUUUGCAAAUUCUCAGAGGUUCUCAGCAAACUAGUAGAGGAUAUGCUUUUCUGAAGUAUGAGAAAAAAGAACAAGCAAUUGCAGCAGUAGAGGCCCUUAAUGGAAAGCAUACCAUGGAGGGUGCAACUGUCCCUUUGGUAGUCAAGUGGGCAGAUACAGAAAGGGAAAGGCAAGCUAGGAGGGCUCAGAAAGCUUUAUCUCAGGCAUCUAAUGCUUCCAACUAUGGACAGCAUCCAUCUUUAUAUGGAUCUCUAUCCAUGGGUUACAUGCCACCAUAUAAUGGCUAUGCUUAUCAGACUCCUGGAACAUAUGGGCUCAUGCAGUACCGUCAACCGUCAGUACAGAAUCAACCCUCAUUUCAGAAUAUGGUUCCAUCCAUAAACCAAGGAGGUACUCCACAUGGAGUUGCACCUGGUCUAACACCUGGAACUACCCCAAGAAAUUAUGCCAUGUCGCCUGGAAGCUAUCUGGCAUCUGCUUACAGGGCAGUACAAGGACUUCAAUAUCCCACGCGCUAUCCUGGAGGCAUUACUGGUUAUCUACCUCCUUAUACCGCAAACAGGCAUUCUGCAGCAUCUUCAAGUGUCGGUUCAAAUACAGGGGGUCAAGUUGAAGGUCCAGCUGGUGCUAAUUUAUUUAUUUACCACAUUCCUCAAGAAUUUGGUGAUCAAGAGCUUGCAAACACUUUCCAACAAUUUGGGACGGUCUUGAGUGCCAAAGUUUUUGUGGACAAAGCUACUGGUGUUAGUAAAUGUUUUGGAUUUGUAAGUUACGACUCUCCAGACGCUGCACAAUCUGCAAUCAAAAUGAUGAAUGGUUUCCAACUAGACGGGAAAAAGUUGAAGGUUCAGCUUAAAAGAGAAAACAAACAGAACAAACCUUAUUGAUGUAAAAGCCUACGAAUUGAUGUAAUGAAGUCAGACAAAGUUGGAGUGCAUUUUCCCUUCAUGAUUUGACUACACUUGUGGGCGGGCGGUUUCUGAUUUCCUUCCGAAACCCAGCUUAUUAAUUUCAGGAUGCUGAAUCAGGUUGUGAUCGGCCUUUGAAGGAUAGUGAGCAAUGAGAAUGUAUAUUUCCUGUCUAGUUGGUGAGGUGGCGUUUUCCAUGGGGAUUUGGAGAAACAUUUGAUCUUGAGCCUGAUAAUUGACAUAUUCUAUAGAGAAGAUUCAUUUCAUUCAUCAGCAUGCUUACUCAUCAAAACGUUGGACUUGUAGUACUUGGUCACCUUAUGUGGAGCGCUGGAUAGGACUAAUUUCCCUGAGGGCCUAAAUAACAGGAGUUAAAAGAGUUAACUAAAUUCCCUCAUGAAGUCCCUGAGUAAAUUUUGAAAUUUUUUCCAUGUCGGUAUCAUAUUGUUAGCUUCAAUUGUUAUUACCUUUUCUUUUAUAUGUAAGUAGGAGUAGUUAAUCCCCAAAGCAAUUAGUUCAAUACUAGCUAGUUGGCGCAGGUUCUCAUUCCUGUAUGUAUGGUUAGGUCUGAUGUAAGCAAAUAUGUUUCUGGUUCAAUGUUUAGUUAUGAUGAUAGGGUAUUUUUGAAGUUAUUUCUGAUUGUCAAUGCACCUGAACCCAGCUUUUCCUCUUGUUUUGUUGGUGGUUUUUACAUGAGUCUGUUAUAGAAAAUGUUGAGAAGUUGUUCUAAGAUUCAUUGGUUGCAUUA